AUUGAACGCUGGCGGCAGGCUUAACACAUGCAAGUCGAGCGGGGGAAGGUAGCUUGCUACCGGACCUAGCGGCGGACGGGUGAGUAAUGCUUAGGAAUCUGCCCAUUAGUGGGGGACAACAUCUCGAAAGGGAUGCUAAUACCGCAUACGUCCUACGGGAGAAAGCGGGGGAGCUUCGGACCUUGCGCGAAUAGAUCAGCAUAAGCCGGAUUAGCUAGUUGGUGGGGUAAAGGCCUACCAAGGCGACGAUCUGUAGCGGGUGUUAGAGGAUGAUCCGCCACACUGGGACUGAGACACGGCCCAGACUCCUACGGGAGGCAGCAGUGGGGAAUAUUGGACAAUGGGGGGAACCCUGAUCCAGCCAUGCCUCGUGUGUGAAGAAGGCCUUAUGGUUGUAAAGCACUUUAAGCGAGGAGGAGGCUACUCUAGUUAAUACCUAGGGAUAGUGGACGUUGCUCGCAGAAUAAGCACCGGCUAACUCUGUGCCAGCCGCCGCGGUAA
rnacentral:rRNA from 1 species